ACGGGUGAGUAACGCGUGGAUAAUCUACCUCUAUCUGGGGGAUAACCCAUCGAAAGGUGGGCUAAUACCGCAUAAUCCGGCUGAUUCAUGGAUUGGCCGGCAAAGGUGGCCUCUUGAUCAAAGCUACCGGGUUGAGAUGAGUCCGCGUCCCAUUAGCUUGUUGGUAGGGUAACGGCCUACCAAGGCGACGAUGGGUAGCUGGUCUGAGAGGACGAUCAGCCACACUGGAACUGGUACACGGUCCAGACUCCUACGGGAGGCAGCAGUGAGGAAUAUUGCGCAAUGGGGGAAACCCUGACGCAGCGACGCCGCGUGGGUGAAGAAGGCCUUCGGGUCGUAAAGCCCUGUCAAGUGGGAAGAAAAGCCUAUGGACGAAUAAUCCAUGGGUCUGACGGUACCACUGAAGGAAGCACCGGCUAACUCCGUGCCAGCAGCAGCGGUAAGACGGAGGGUGCAAGCGUUAUUCGGAAUGAUUGGGCGUAAAGCGUCUGUAGGUGGCUUUUCAAGUCCGCCGUCAAAUCCCAGGGCUCAACCCUGGACAGGCGGUGGAAACUACCAAGCUGGAGUACGGUAGGGGCAGAGGGA
rnacentral:rRNA from 1 species